GUGAACGCUGGCGGUAGGCCUAACACAUGCAAGUCGAACGGCAGCACAGUAAGAGCUUGCUCUUACGGGUGGCGAGUGGCGGACGGGUGAGGAAUACAUCGGAAUCUACUUUUUCGUGGGGGAUAACGUAGGGAAACUUACGCUAAUACCGCAUACGACCUACGGGUGAAAGCAGGGGAUCUUCGGACCUUGCGCGAUUGAAUGAGCCGAUGUCGGAUUAGCUAGUUGGCGGGGUAAAGGCCCACCAAGGCGACGAUCCGUAGCUGGUCUGAGAGGAUGAUCAGCCACACUGGAACUGAGACACGGUCCAGACUCCUACGGGAGGCAGCAGUGGGGAAUAUUGGACAAUGGGCGCAAGCCUGAUCCAGCCAUACCGCGUGGGUGAAGAAGGCCUUCGGGUUGUAAAGCCCUUUUGUUGGGAAAGAAAAGCAGCGGUUAAUACCCCGCUGUUCUGACGGUACCCAAAGAAUAAGCACCGGCUAACUUCGUG
rnacentral:rRNA from 1 species